ensembl:snRNA U6 U6 spliceosomal RNA
GUUCUCACUUCAGUAGCAUAUAUACUAAAAUUGGAAUGAUACAGAUAUUAGCAUGGCCCCUGCACAGGGAUGACAUGCAAAUUCAUGAAGCAUUCCAUUUAAAA